GUUGUUCGGAAUUACUGGGCGUAAAGCGCGUGUAGGCGGCUUUGCAAGUCGGGCGUGAAAUCCCACGGCUCAACCGUGGAAGUGCACUCGAAACUGCAGAGCUAGAGUCCUGGAGAGGAAGGUGGAAUGCUUGGUGUAGAGGUGAAAUUCGUAGAUAUCAAGCGGAACACCGGUGGCGAAGGCGGCCUUCUGGACAGUGACUGACGCUGAGACGCGAAAGCGUGGGGAGCAAACAGG
rnacentral:rRNA from 1 species